rnacentral:lncRNA from 1 species
AUUGGGGAUAUCGACCUGAACUUAUGUUUAUUGAACUUUGGCAUAUUGUAGUGUUGCUGUAUUCAAAUUUUGUGUAGUUGCAAGUUCAUACCGUAUUAUACCUAUUUCUAAGGACUUAUUUCUAAGGCAAAAUUUUAGAAAUAUCCUGUAACGGUUCAUGAAGCCAUUCUGAAGGAAAAGAACAUCAGACUUUCUCCAAGAGAAGAAGAGUUUGGAAAUUAUGAACACAGUAGAAGUACAUUCAUCUAAUAAAGAACAACACACUACUCAUACUGCUGAAGAAAAUUCAUUAAAAUGUGAAACUUGUGGUAAGCAGUUUGACAAAAAAAAUAAUUUAAAUCGACAUAUGAGAAUUCACAUUGGGGAAAAACCUUACCAGUGUGACAUUUGUCUUAAGCGGUUUUCUCAUAAAAAUAAUUUGAAAAAUCAUGUGAGGGUGCACACUGGAGAAACGCCUUACAAUUGUGACAUUUGUUUUGGCGGUUUUCUCGGGAAAGUCAUUUGAAAACGCAUUUGAGAGUGCACACUGGAGAAAAAAUUUACAAGUGUGAAAUAUGUUUUAAGCAGUUUUCUUAUCUACAAAAUAUAAAACAACAUAUGCUAAUACACACUGGGGAAAAACCUUACAAGUGUGAAAUUUGUUUUAUACCGUUUAGCGCAUCACACCAUUUGAAAAAUCAUAUAAGAAGGCACACUGGAGAAAAACCUCACAAGUGUGAAAUUUGUUUUAAACAAUUUACUCAAAGCGGAAGUUUGAAAAGGCAUUUGGGAACACACUAGAAAAGCCGUAAAUAUAUGAAAUUUGUUUUGAGCAGUUUAUUCCGGAAACAACUUUAUUUUCAGCAGCUACCCUUGAAAAAAUAUUUACAGCUUUGGGGAGAAUCAACGGACCAAGACGAAUUAUUUUUCAUCACACAAAACAAUCGCAAUGAUAGAUCGUUUAACUCUUAGUCCCGCUUUUUAGAAUUGCUAUGUGAAAAGCUGUAUUAUACUGCAAUAUAUUAUAUAAAGCUGUAUUAUAUACUUUGUACUAUAUUACAAAGAUUGCUGUAUUAUAAAAACAAUAAAUUAUUUGACCAUUGAAAAAA